ACGAUUUCCCCUCAAUAAUAACACCAAAAUAAUAAAUAAAUACAUUACCACUUCUGCAUUUCAACCGCUUCGUUUGAUGUACUAGUUACCAAACUAGUACAUAUAUAAAAUGCAAUAGAAACAUUUUUGUAAAUACAUGUUAUCAAAAAAAAAAAAAGUAUUAAAUACAGCUGUAGACUUUAUUUCAAAUAACACUAUAAUAGUCAUAGUAUUAAAAAAAAAAACUCUCAUAGUCAUAUAGGCUAACCACUUAAAAC